GGAGACAGCUCCUCCUUAUGGCUUGGAUGGAGGGUCAAUAGAGGACACAUGUGCCCGGCAGGCUUUUGUUCUGAUAAGAUGGCAGGCAUGCACAGAAACAUUUGCAGGAUUACGUCUCCGUGUAAAUAUAUGACAGUCCUCUCUACUCUCUUUCCUAAGAAGCACCUUUCGUCUUUUGCUCAAUACUUGAGAGGACCCUCCAAGAUGACCUAUGGGCUCCUACAACAUUUUUACAAGCAACUGAGAGAAGACUCCUCUCCUCCUCUGCUAAUUCGGCUCCUGACUCAGUUGCAGACUUCAUGCAGGCUGCCAUGUCAUCAUAUCGCUCAGCCUGCUCUGCCAGUUUGGCCUUCUGUACCAGCUCAUUUUUAUCCAUGACAGGAUGUUCUGUGUCUGAAGUGGAUGGUGGCAGAUGGGCAGGACUUUGACGGGACAUAUUUUAUACCUGCUUUAUAGGUUUUCAUGCUUAGAGAACAAAGUUCUAUGCUGGGAGAUCUAAGUCCCUUGUCUGUUCAGUGGAUUAUCAUGUAGAGGAUCAGAUUAUAUGCUUGGAAAGGUAAAAUUAGACCUAAAUCAGAUUAUAUGCUUGGAGAGGUAAUACUAGACCUAAAAAAACCUAAAUCAAUGCUUGACAGUCCAUAUUUCAUAUAGGAGUAUCAGGUUCUAUGCUUGGAGAUUGAGAUUCCAUACGUGGAUUUUCUGUUUCCACCUUGAAGAAUAGGUUCCAUGUCUUACAUUUUUAAGAGAAUCAACUUCUCAUUUCCUAAAUUCUGAAAGUACUCUUUCUUAAAAUUAAUUUGCCUUGUAGCAUGUCUGAAGUCAAGGUAUUAUAGUGGCUCACUUUUCUACUUCCUCUUUCAGAAUUGCUAUCCUCCAUUUUACUAAAAAUGAAUGAAUGAAAAAAUGAAUGGUGAACACUCUUACUGAACUUAACUGUAGUGCCUUGUCCUCGGGUGAAAUAACCUCCAGGGCAGUGAUGGGCAAUUCAACAUUUUGUAGUUAGGGAAGCUUUCUUUAGGCAAGAUAAUGUAAACCUACAUUGGGCUUGUGUUUCUUUUUUUAUCUUAUCCAUAUUUCUGAUAAGGGUGACUUAUAGACAGUGUGGAUCACAACAGUCUGUGGAAAAUUCUUAAAGAGAGGGAAUACCAGACCACCUUACCUGCCUCCUGAGAAAUCUGUAUGCAAGUUAAGAAGCAACAGUUAGAACUGGACAUGGAACAAUGGACUGGUUCCAAAUUGGGAAAAGAGUACAUCAAGGUUGUAUAUUGUCAACCUGCUUAUUUAACUUAUAUGGAGAGUACAUCAUGAGAAAUGCCAGGCAUGAAGCACAGGCUUGAAUCAAGAUUGCCGGGAGAAAUAUCAAUAACCUCAGAUACACAGAUGACACCACCCAUAUGGCAGAAAGUGAAGAAGAACUAAAGAGCCUCUUGAUGAAAGUGAAAGAGGAAAGUGAAAAACCUGUCUUAAAACUGAACAUUCAAAAAACUAAGAUCAUGGCAACCGUUCCCAUCACUUCA
rnacentral:lncRNA from 1 species